rnacentral:pre_miRNA from 1 species
AGCCUUCUGUAUCCGUGCUGAGAUUUCGUCACACACCGAAGCACGAGAGCUGAUGAGACUUCCAAGAUAAGUGAAGCG